rnacentral:lncRNA from 1 species
CACCACAGGCUACAACAGUCUCCCGCUCCUCCUCUUGAUCAUCUUACUCCUCCUCCUCCUCCACCUCUUCCUUCACCUCACCUCCUCCAACAGCUUCUCCAUCUUCUAGUCCUGCAAUAGAGAGAAGCAAUUUGCCAGAGGCAAUGUCAUGGCAUAUAUAUAAUCUUUCUCUCGAAUCGUGCCACAGUUGGAGAUGACUAGAGCUGCCGGACUGCUCCUGCUCGCUUCCUUUCGGUCAGAUGCAAAAAAUGCCACUGACUCUACCGCGCUGCGCUAGGUACCCUCCUCCUUUUUGUAGCUACUAGAACCUCUUCAAUUCUAAGAUAUUCCAGCAGAUACUGUAAGUUUGCAAGGUCAUCUCUUUACGAAGCUCAACCUCACGCAAGCAGAGACGAUGUUGUUGUAUAUGCGGCGAGCCAGGAGCUUGGCCAUGAAAGAUGUUUCACUCUGUUCUUGAGAAGGUCGAGUCCUCCAUCCGAAUUGCCGUGUCUAUAGCAUGAGCACAACAAUUAUAGUCCCCGCUCCAAAAUAGGUGCCUUGAAACAACUUGAUAAACAGACUAGAAAAUACCUGCAUUGAUCUAGGGACCCCUUAUUUUUGCUUCUUGUCCUUAAAAGAACAAUAUUGGCUAUUUGUGUCAUGGAUUCUUCUACAUCCAAGGAUUCCGAGGGCAAGGAAAACAUUUAUGUAUUGCUGCUAAUAGGGCUGUUGCUUGUAGUGUUUCUCCCACUAACUAUCCUGGCUUUUGUGGCGGAUACCAAUCGUCACGAACCAUGGUGCGACUUCAAGGACAUCAAGGUUUUACACGUGGAGCUCCCAUCAAACUCAACUCCGAGGUUUGUCUCGGAUGUAGAGCUCCAGUUUACCUGCUCGAAUCUCAAGCAUCGCAAGCACGAAGGUCUGCUGGACGUGGAGUUUGAUGCAAUGGACGUAAGUUUGAGCUACCGUGGUGUCGAGCUCGCCAAGUUUUCAUUCCCCAUGUUUGUGCUUCCGAAGAGCAGGAGUGUUUCUGUGACACGGAGGCUUUUGGUGAACGAGACGAGCCUUCCCGUGGUUAAGUUGGAGCUGUUUGAAGCGGAUGUCGCAUCGGGCAAAGUCCCACUCUCGGCAGCUAUUCAUGCUAGUGCUCAGUGGGUUCACAGAUUCGGCCGGGGUAGCGUGGAUUACUUGCAGGCUGAUCUUACCUGUGACUUGGGCAUGCUUCUUCCACAGAAGGGUGGAACCAAAGCGCAAGAUAUUGUGUUUGAUGGUCAGCAGCUGUGCCCUGUUUACUUGUCCUGUCCCUAUUGUGGUUUCAAAGAGAGGGAUGGUGUAGUUCAGGCCCCAGGCCAGGAAGGUGGAAGCGCCAAAAGCCUUGAGGGCAUCGGUAUGGAAGCCUUUGCCAGUCGAUGAGAUCGCCAAGCUACACACUAAGUUUUAUUAUUCAUAUACAAUCUAGUUAGAUUUUUAUAAUUUCUAUCAAACUAAUAUAUAACGACAGAAAAUUCUUGAUGCUAGUAAAAACUACAUGGCAUAUGUGCACGAUCUACCAUAUCAACUUGGCAUUGAUCCAUCAACUGACCACCUUGUGUGGAUUUAAUCGCCACAAUCGUUGUGGUUUGGUAGAUCUCCUUGGUUGCUCGUGACGCUGAAUCCAAGAGGAGACAGUCUUGAUUUUCUUUUUGGUAACAGUUUGACUGACUUCUUCAGCAUAUCUUCUUUAAAGACACACAAAAAAUAUGACUUACCAACGACAAGGAAAAUCAAGCAUACCUCAUUCCACAAUACCAUUUGAGUUUUGCCUUGCAAAGCAGACCAUGUUCAGAAACUCCGUAAUCUCCAUAUUAAAUCCCUCAAGUCUCACCUUGAGUAAUCAACAGAGCAUAAAAGCAAUCCUGUGUCAGCUGUGUCCAAUGCAUCCUGUCACUUACAAGAAAGGGCUCCACCAUCCACAGACUGAAGGAGGAGAUGACCCUCCGCAACUUGAGCGUUGCAUCCACUGAAGAAAUAUGUGGAAGCUAUCGGCGUUCUUGUCCUGCUUCUUCACAGAGUUUGUGGACUACAGCUUCACGGCCAAGGUCGACGCUGUUUCGUCCAGGAGCAUGAAAUGGAAGGAAGUGUUGCAGCAGUUCUGGCCAAAAUUUCCACGACAAAGUCGCGGUCACGGCCAAAGUUCCGACUCAACAGGUAGACAUGCUCGCCAGAGGAUGACUCAAGUAUACAUGAUCAAGAGACAUGCCCCUAGUUUACUGCUUGACCCAAGAGUGAAAUGAAUCACAAUGCAAAAACUGCAAGCCUUCAUUUGCAGGACAGAGAACCAGGUAAAGUCGUACUCUACGUGAUUAGCUUUUGUAUGUCCUCAAACUUUUGCUGUCAGGCAAAGCCAAUGAGGCUGGAUGAAACGCACCACAAGAACUCAAACCUUGUAAGAAGACUGUUUUUAAUUGUAAUCGUUUCGAUGUUUGGAAGGCUGGGAGACAUCCAAGAUGCAAAGAGGUUUUUCGAUUCGAUGCCCCCCUUUUCGUUUUAGAGAAGUUUUUGACGAAUUUUUCCAGCUUAUGGAAGCCGCUGGCCAAUCUCUCCCUGUGUUUAGACCGUCAUCACCUGUGAGUGAGAAUGUUUUACAGAUGGCUCCCGGCGUGCCGUGAUUCUCUCCGAGGCAAAUGUUUAAGAGAAGCAUGCCGCUUCCACCAUCCGACACAAUCGGCUUUCCAGAAACGCGAUGACUUCGAGAGCUCCAACACGGAUAACUUCUAUGGGAGCCGAGCGGCAGUAGUAGCAGCUCCGGACUCGUUUGGAAGCCUCCCUCCAAUGAGAAUCCAGGCGAUCAAGGUACUCCAAAUCACCACAGGCUACAACACUCUCCCGCUCCUCCUCUUGAUUAUCUUCCUCCUCCUCCUCCUCCUCCUUCACCAACACCUUCUCCAUCUUCUAGUCCUGCAGUAGAGAAGCAAUUUGGCAGAGGCAAUGUCAUGGCAUAUAUAUAAUCUUGCUCUCGUAUCGUGCCACAGUUGGAGCACCUCUUCAAUUUAAGACAUUCU